rnacentral:rRNA from 1 species
AUUGAACGCUGGCGGCAUGCCUUACACAUGCAAGUCGAACGGCAGCGGACCUUCGGGUGCCGGCGAGUGGCGAACGAGUGAGUAAUAUAUCGGAACGUACCUUUCAGUGGGGGAUAACGUAGCGAAAGUUACGCUAAUACCGCAUAUUCUGUGAGCAGGAAAGCAGGGGAUCGCAAGACCUUGCGCUGAUUGAGCGGCCGAUAUCAGAUUAGCUAGUUGGUGAGGUAAAGGCUCACCAAGGCGACGAUCUGUAGCGGGUCUGAGAGGAUGAUCCGCCACACUGGAACUGAGACACGGUCCAGACUCCUACGGGAGGCAGCAGUGGGGAAUUUUGGACAAUGGGCGCAAGCCUGAUCCAGCCAUGCCGCGUGAGUGAAGAAGGCCUCGGUUGUAA